UUUCCUUUUCAUUUUCCCCCCUUCUCUUUCACUCUCUUCUCUCUCCCUCUCCUCUCUCUACCAUCCCACCACCCAACUGCCACCAGACGCCGCCGUUAUUUUCGACCAGCAAUCGUCGCCACCAGACGCCGCCAGCUCAGCUGACACACACAAUGGAGUAAAAAAUGGAGUUUCAAAGCAAGGCUCAUUGCUUCACGGAGACCACCACUUCACUGUCAGCCUGUUACCUUUACUUCCCCGUUAUCUAUCCAUUGCUGCUUGUUGUGUUGGAAUUUUAAGGUUGCAGUACCCCCUCUUCUCGAAGGUUUGGCCUCGUUCCAAUGGUGGCAUAUGAGGACAUUUUUCUUAAGAACGAAUUUCAACAACACUCUGAGGAGUUUCGAGCCACUCAGCCAAGUAGCACGCCGAUGACCGACGAGGUAAUACAACAAUAGUGGAUUGAGAAGGUUGCUCCCCCAACAAGGCAUGGGACAGUUUAUGGGAUGCCUAAUGGAGCCUUUCGUCGAUACCCGUCGGCCCUUGAAGUCGUAGGUGCUGAUGAUGAUGGGGCAGUUGAUCCUAAGGAGUAUGAAGCUAUGAAGCAUCAAGUUGACCUACUAACAAGAACACUUAAUUCCUCGGAGGCCAGGAUGUUGGGUAUGCAAGCCCAAAUUAACACCAAACAUUGACUUUUUGGAUUAGUGUGCUUUUGGAUUCUAAUUCGGCUAUGUUUAAAUGGAUAUGUAUAUUAUGUUUAAGAGUUUGAAUGUAGUUUUAAUGCGAAUUAAAAGUACUUUUAAUUUUAAGAUGUUUAAGUGUUUGAAUGGACAAUAUUUAAGUGUUCAAGU